AUGAAUGUCACUUACAAACCAACAAGCUGUGAAAAAAACAAGGAAAGACGUUACCGGAUCGGAAGGAGACGAUGGCGGCGAGGUGCAGUGGUGACUGGCGGCGGUCUGAGUUGGCUUCCGUGGUGUCCGAUUCAGAUCUCGCUUCUUUUCCUCUCCAUUUUCAUAGAAUCUGAGGGUGAUUGCAUCGAUGCUAGUUGUGGCACAAUCCGUCGGUUCUGA
rnacentral:lncRNA from 1 species